UUGUUCUCUAUAUCUAAUUUUCUUCUAACACUAACUGUAUAUUUUCUCGUCGUUGUUCCGGUUAGAUUUCUUCUUCACAUGGUCGGUUGAUCGUCGCAGUAUCUGAGAGGUAGUCGACAUCGUAAAGUUGUUUCGUGCCUACGAGUCGCACGCCUACCACCAAAUGCAAAAUCCAUUUCCGUCUAACCAGGAAACUUUUAACAAGCCGCAUUCAAAGUAUGUGUGUUCCAUGUAAAAGUUAUCCGGUACACCGACAAGUACAUACAUCACACGAAGGUGGAACGCGAGGAUCGCGAACGAUAAUUACUUCGUGCCGAGACUCGCGAUUUAGGGAAAUUGUGUUUACAGUCUUAGCGAUUUUAAAGGAAAUUCGACUUAAUGAAACGACAUUAAUCAUCAUUCAUCAUGGACAAGUCGGGGAAAUACUAUUUCCUUGUUUUAUAUAUAUCACAUAUUUAUUACUUGUAUUAUUAUUUCAUAUUUUAAUCAAAUUUUAAUCCAUAUAUUAUGUAUUUCUAUUUUAAUGAAGAAGAGCAAAUAAUGUUGCCCAACAAUGUAUGUGUGUCAUAUUUGAACAUAUCACGUUGAUGAAGUACAGCGACCGAUGCCAAUGGUUAGCUUGUCUACGUGCAAGUGGGUCAGUACAAACAUCUUGAAGACAUUUAAACUUAGUUCCGAUUAACUCUCUCAGAGGAUUCUCGUGCAUAGUGUCUACUAUAUGUUGAAUACGGUUUCUGCGAAUAGGUAGAAACUUUGGCUAGGACUGAUAUGCGGAGAUGCAUGGAAGCGCAUCGUCGCGAUCUCUUGAACUGAUUGCAAACUAAUAUUCCGUUAAACUCACUGCAAAUUAUAACAGCGACAUUAAUGACGGAUAUUAUUAAAUUUAGAACGUUUAAUUAAACGUGAAAAAUGGUGAUGUUAGAGAAACAUAGAAAGAGAAGAUGCACGAGCUGUCAAAGAAUUUCUUGGCAUUUGAUGUGAAUCCGCAAGCGCUUUGCGGAAUUCAAAUACUACGCCCAAUGUCCGAUAUACAAACAUCCAGUAUUCAAUAGAAGAUAUUGUAUUCUAAGAAAAAUUUAACGAGCAAUAUUUUUAUUUCUACUAUUAAUUACAUCUUUGUAUGUGACAUAAAUCUCAUUGCGAUAAAUUAAUCAAUAAGGACCGAUACAAUAAAUCCAAUUAUGAUUAAGAGUCUCUUGUAUGUCUUAUAAACCAAGUCAUGGACAUAGAAAGAUAGAGCUGGCAUUCCAUGCAAUUUUCAAUAUUACACAUCGGAUCAGAUAUCAUGGAAGAAGAGAAAAGAAAAAGAGAAAUAGUAGAUUUUUUUUAUUAUUUACAAUAGACAAGCACGUAUUCGAUGUGCACAGAUUAGAAAAUCAGCACAUGAUCCAAUGUUCCCCCAACAUACAUGUAUAUUUGCCAAAUAUAUAUGUAUAUAAACGAUGUACACAAAUAUGACGCAUCGAAUGCUCGUCGAGAUACGAUGGCGUUACAAAUAUUUUCGUAUUAUAGCAACGUAUUUAGUAAUUAGUAUAGUUUUUUCAAUCAAAGAGAGAGGAGUGAAAACUUGUGAAAGCGCAGGAAAUACAAGUGACACAAAAUUCCAAAAGUAUUAAAGGGAGAGAAAUACAUGUCAUUUAAAACUGAUAUCAUGUAGAACAAUUGUUAUUCCGGUGCAGUGUACAUAAAAAAUUAGCGAAAAGAGCAUGGUUCGGUAAAACGUUAUUUUUUACAGAGCUAUUAAUUUUUUAUA